CUUACACUAUUAAUAUUGUAUUUUUAUUUUAAGCUUUACGUUAUAUGUAUCUCCAAUUUAUUGUAUUUUUUCCCCUUCUUUACUGUUUUAUCCCCCUGGCAUCUUUUAUGUUCCUUAUGUAAUUCCUAAUGUUUCAUUAUGCUGUAAUAAUUUACUGUUUAAUAAAAAAUAAAAAAAAUCGUAGGAAUUUUCGAGAGGGUGCUCGCUGCAGAGCCAUUUGAGCAGAGCUGAGCUCCAGCGAGGGGGAGCAUGAGCUGUCGCUCCUCCUCCUGUAAGCUGUUUUAAUGCGUACACCAACCCCACCCCUAACCCUACCCCCAGUGACAUCACUCGUAGAAGAAGCGCAAAAAAGGUGGAGCUCAAGCUUAAGCUCCCCCUCGCUGGAGCUCAGCUCUCCUCAAAUGGCUCUGCAGCGAGCACCACUUGGAAUUUUCCGCCAUCUAGUGUUGAAUAGAGUGAACAUAUCAGCUAACGUAAAAUGACAGAAGAUUAACAUGCUCUAACUGCUUACAGCCUCCCAAUAAUUUACAGCAUUUUCAAACACAUUGUAAGCCAUUUUAUCGGCGCAUGUGUGAGUUCAGCCAAAUAUUAUAGAAUACACUUAAAGUGACUCUGGUUCUUCGUUGUAAGUAAGACUAGGAACCUUUAUCUCGCUGAAUCACCCCGGAACAAUUUAGAGGCGGCGCGCGGCUGCACACGCGGGUUCACUGUGUGCUGUGUUUUGGUGGAACGGCUCUUCAAAACCGCUGUCGCUACCAUUAGCUUGACCAUGUUGAAGUCCAAAACAUUUGUAAAAAAGACCCGUUCUGGCGGAGUGUUGAAAAUCGUACGGGAACAUUAUCUCCGAGAUGACAUCUGGUGUGGAAGUGAAGUUUGUAAGGAGUGCAAAGAUGAAGCUCCGGUGCUGCAAGAAGAAACUUGUAUAGAAAGCAACCUCUGCCCAUAUCCUCACUAUUUAAUCCCAGACACCAAUGUGGUUUUACAUCAGCAGUUCAGAUGCAGAGUCUGGUGUUUUAAUCCAAAAAUCUACAAUGAAGGCUCAAUAAAGUUGACUGAACAUCAACUGAAGUUUGGAACAACAUGAGGAUCAGUGCUGAACGAUUUUUUAUUUUUUGCUUUGGAUGGAGUUUGUUAAGUAAUUAUUGUAUAUUGUUUUUUAUUUCAUUAUUAUUAUUUUUUUGCAUUUGUGACUGUGAUAAAUGUUGGCAGUUGCUUAAAUGUGGUCAAACUCAGUUCCUGGAGGGCUGCAGCCAGCAGAGUUUAGUUCCCACCCUGCUUCAACAUUAACUGUAGAUUUCUAAUAAUCCUCAAUUAGUUGAUCAGAUGUGUUUAAUUUGAGUUAACGCUAAACUCUGUGGCCCUCUGUAAUAUGUCAGAUGAUAUUUAAAUGUUUGACAACUGUGCUAUAUACACAGCAUGUGUUGAUUGCUUUAAUUUUGUUGUACAUUUUCUGUUUUAUAUUUGUUUGCUGCCAAAACAAUAAAAUACAUGUGUCUGAACAACUGAUAUGCAUUUUAACACUUAAGAAUACUGAUUAAUUUUAGUAACACUACAAUAACUAUAAAUGACAUACCAUUAAUGUUUACGCAGUAUAAUCCUGUGAGUUGCAACACGACAGUACAGUAAGUAACUGUAAGCAGUCUCCAGUUAGUUACCGCUACUGCUCUAUUACAGUAAUUAACUGACAACACUGUUGCCAGCUACUCACUGUAAUGGUUCAGUUACAGUAAUUACCUGGCAACACUGUUGCCAGUUAGAAACUGUUUAGUUACAGUAAUUCACUGGCAACACUAUUGCCAAUUACUCAC
ensembl:lincRNA